UCAGCCUCAGCCUCAGCCUCAGCCUCAGAGGCCGUCCACUGAGCCGGCAUGAGCACAUCCUGGUCUGGUGUGCAGACACAGCCUCUCCAUCCACCCUCCCCCCUUCACUCCUGCAACAACUUACAGGUGACCAGCAUCAGGAGUUUCUGCUGUGAGUCACUGCCAUGGAAACUGGGCGUCCUGCAUCUGCUCUGACAGUCCUGUGGACCCUGCUAGAAUGGAUGGAUAAACAAUGGAUGAAGAGGUUCGCUAUAACCAUACGUACAACUGAAAGCAAUCCAGGAAAAAAAAAUCACACGUGCUCCACUUUCUCCUUCCUCUCAUGGUGACUGCUGGCUUUCUCUUAGGAACCUGUCUUAUUCUUUGCUUGGUGGACUUUUUGUUUCUCCUAUGAUACUCCCCCCGCCAGGCUCUCAGGUGCCAGUGUGGGCAGUCCUGGGUGAUCUUUCUCUACCCCUACAUAGAGCCGUGUGUACAGUCCUGGGUGAUCUUUCUCUACCCCCACGGAGAGCUCAAUGGUCUCCUGGCCGCUGAUUUAACACUUGAGUGCUGUCGUCGGGGAAGCUUGGUGGGCUCUGCUCCAGCUGCUGUGCACAGCUGCCUGACUGAAGAUUCAGGGCCAGGUCUGACAUGCCAUGAGUGGCUUGCCAGAUCCCAAGGAGGGCAGCCGAGGGCACAGCCAAGCCAGCAGGCCAGGCACCGCGGGUGGCAGGUAGCCAGGCCAGGCCAGAGCCGUUCCAGGCAGCCCACGGCCAGCUGCUCGUGGUUAUAUUUAGGCCUUACUGCCAGGGACAGCAGGACGCUGGGGCUCCCCAGGCCAAGGGACCAUACGCUGCCUAAGUGGUCCUUGGCAUUGGACAUGUGAGAUUGUUUUCCAUUUUAAGGACAUUAUUUUAAAAUGUUUCCAUGAAGGGAAAGGGAGGAAGGGAAUGAAAACCGAUCUGGAAGAAGAGGCCCGAAAGAAAUGCAGCAGCAACAACCGCAAAUCCUUGUUUGCAUUCCGACGGCCGCCGCCGCUGCUGAACCAACUCCAAAGAGAUCACUGGAGACAUCUGGGAAUUCGCACACAGGCUGAGAA